rnacentral:rRNA from 1 species
CCGGCGACCGGCGCACGGGUGAGUAACACGUAUGGAACCUGCCCGCAGCAGGGGGAUAAGCGGAAGAGAUUCCGUCUAAUACCGCGUAACAACGUUGGGAGGCAUCUCCCGAUGUUUAAAGAUUUAUCGGCUGCGGAUGGCCAUGCGGCGCAUUAGCUAGUCGGCGGGGUAACGGCCCACCGAGGCGACGAUGCGUAGGGGUUCUGAGAGGAAGGUCCCCCACACUGGUACUGAGACACGGACCAGACUCCUACGGAAGGCAGCAG